GGACCCGUGGUCUAGUGGUUACGACGCAACCUUGACGUGGUUGAAAUCGCUGGUUCGAUCCCAGCCGGGUCCA
rnacentral:tRNA from 1 species